rnacentral:snRNA from 1 species
GUGCUCGCUUCAGCAGCACAUAUACUAAAAUAGGAACAAUACAGAGAAGAUUAGCAUGGCCCCUGCACAAGGAUGACACGCAAAUUCAUGAAGCAUUCCAUAUUUUA